CCCGGUUGCAAGCGUGAAAAAGGAUUUCGAUUGUACAUUUCAAGUUACAUCCACAACUUUGAAGGUGGGUCUGAAGGAUUCCAUCCCCGUUGAGCUGGCCCAUCACAGCUGUACAUGUGUAGCUGGAUCAGUGCUCUGUAACCAUUGUGUGGCUCUACUUUUCUACAUUAUUCUCAGCUUGACAUUCCAGUUGUUCCACCAGUGUUGAGCUGUACGGAGAGUGAACAACAGUGGCACAAGCCAAGAACCUCGGGUGUUAAACCAGGUCCCGUCGAGAAGAUGGCUGUGAUGUCUGCCAAACCAUGUGAUGUGAUGCAAAAAAUAAGAGAGAGC